UUUCUGCAGAGGACGCCACAGGUGGCGCCGCUGCAGUCCCUGUCUGCUGUGACCAGCUCUGACCAAAGGAGGCGUAGUAAGGAAGCCAGGACACCUGGAACCCGGGAUACGUGCGGGUCCCAGAGCGACAGAGGCUGCGGCAGAGCCACCUAGCGACGUUCGAGGCAGGAGAGACACAAACUGGAAAUCGCGCCACCGUAUCCACGCGCCUUUGUACAGGGCGGCCCCACCCACCGCUCCGGCGGCGUCUCCAAUUGGACAGUUUGUGAGGUUCCACCCCCUGUUGCCUGAGUCACAUCUCAGACGGAGGUCAGGUAGCUGAGCGAUCCAGCUUCCACUUUUGUCCCUGAAACUGUCCUGCCAGAGACAUUUGCAUUAUACCAGAACUUUAUAUGCUAGAUAUAAAGGCCCUCAGACCGGACACUGGCGUUUACCGAAGAAGCUUCUGAACGGGGACAUAGGUGUGCGCGCAGGGAAUGCCAGACAAGAGUUUCCAGAUAAAGCGAACCCCUUGAUGACUGACUCUUUGAGGAGUAAAUCCACAGCAAAAGGGCCCUGGAGGCAAGGCCAUACUGGAUCAGGAGAGUCAGAUAUUCUCCAGAGGACAGUGGCUUGGCAUCAUGCUGCCAGGACACUCAGAACUGUGACCCCGUAGGUUCACAGAGACCAGGCAAUGUUUACAUUUUUAAUUUUAAGUUUUGUUGUGGGUACAUAGUAGGUGUAUAUAUUUAUGAGUUACAUGAGAUAUUUUGAUGUAAGCAUGCAAUGCCUAAUAAUCACAUCAUGGUAAAUGGGGAA
rnacentral:lncRNA from 1 species